rnacentral:tRNA from 1 species
GGUUGUGGCUCAGUGGUAGAUCACUUGCCUAGCAUGUAUGAGGGGACUGGGUUCAAUUCUCAGCACCA